rnacentral:rRNA from 1 species
ACUCCUACGGGGCAGCAGUGGGGAAGUAUUGGACAAUGGGCGCAAGCCUGAUCCAGCCAUGCCGCGUGCAGGAAGACUGCCCUAUGGGUUGUAAACUGCUUUUGUACGGGAAGAAACACCCCCUCGUGAGGGGGCUUGACGGUACCGUAAGAAUAAGGAUCGGCUAACUCCGUGCCAGCAGCCGCGGUAAUACGGAGGAUCCGAGCGUUAUCCGGAAUCAUUGGGUUUAAAGGUCCGUAGGUGGAUUGGUAAGUCAGAGGUGAAAGCCUGCAGCUCAAACUGUAGAACUGCCUUUGAUACUGCUAGUCUUGAGUCGUUGUGAAGUGGUUAGAAUAUGUAGUGUAGCGGUGAAAUGCAUAGAUAUUACAUAGAAUACCAAUUGCGAAGGCAGAUCACUAACAACGUACUGACACUGAUGGACGAAAGCGUGGGGAGCGAACAGGAUUAGAUACCCUGGUAGGCUCUGCU